rnacentral:piRNA from 1 species
UGUGAAGAGCUGUGACCUUACAAUGGUGA